rnacentral:lncRNA from 1 species
GUCAGUUAUUGGUACAGUGUCAGGUAUUGGGCAACUUACCUUAGUUAGAUUGAAUUAUGAUUUAUAUAGUAAUAUAAUGUUGUUGAAUAAACUAUAUUUAUUCUGUAAAUGAGGAAACUGUCUCUCUUGCCUAGUAGCAUUUCAUGUAAGUAAAAAUAAAGAAAAUAUCAUGUAAAACAAAAAUUAAAUGUGUAAAUUAUAUUCAUAUAUCAAGUUUUUAGCAUUGACAGAAGGUCAUGUGAUAAAGCAAUCAUCAAUAACUUUGGAAUCAGGAUUCAAUUUCAGAAGCCAUUGCAUUGCUUUUCAGAAGUGGUCUGGGCAUCAUCCAUUUAGCCACAGCUUUCCAGCUUAUACCAUUAUUGGUGUUGGCCAGCCUAUGGUCAGCUUUGAAAAUAGCCACCACUAAAAAUAUCUUGUGAUUCAACAUUUUAAUUCAAACUCACCUAAACAAGUUUCUAGUAAAAAUAAGCAAUUAUAUUUUUAAUGACAUACACAAUUCUCAAUAAUUGGCUGAUUAUUACAUAAUAGUCCACUUCAGGUCAUACUAUGAAUGGCCAGUAUCUGUAGUAGAGUCAGCAGAAUUUUACAGUAAAUAGAUUGAUUCCUCGGCUGGUUCCAUCAAAAAUAAUAAAGCAUGGGAUCCAGGCCAGAUCUGGAAUUAAAUUCAAAUAAGUAAUUUGUUAUAUAUGAUUCCAUUGCAGACAUUUCAAGAAACAUUUUUGAUGUGAAAUAAAAAUAAUCUAACCUCUGAUCAAUCAAAUGGCUGCAGUGGAAGCAUGCUGUGCUUCCUGUUGAAGGAUCUGGAUUCUAUUCCUGAGUAUCACACUUUGAUUUUUUCAGAAAGAGUCCAGGUCCUACUUAUUGAAUCCAUUUUCUACCUGAUAGCUGACCCCACCAGAGAUGUGGGCCGCCUGUGGUAGGCAUUAAAAUGUUCCAUUGUUUAGUAUCCACUAGAUGGAAAGCAAUAUUAAAUCACAUGAAAAAAUCUUAACUUAUAUAUAAAAUUCAUAUAAAAAAAAAGGCAAAAAUACAAGAAUACAAUUAGAUGAUAAUUACAAAAGAAAAUAGUGGCAUGGCUACUAUUUUCUUUUAUAUUAUAUGCUGCUUUCCUACUUAUUGAAUAUUAAGCAGUUGGUCAUUCCAAUGCUCAAGAGAGGUUGCUCACAUCAUGAUAUAGUUGGCAUUCAGAUAAAGGAUGGGUUGAAUGGGCUGGGCCUGGACAUCUUAAAAAAAUCUAGAUCUGAGAGUUAAAAUUAAAUUAGAAUAUUCCAUGGCAGAAACAAAGCAUGUUUUUAUCCUGACAACUAUUUGGCCAUUUGCCAAUUGGCUUAUCAUUAUUGAAAAUCAUUUGUUUUGAUUGCAAAUAUGGUUUUUUGUCAUAAUCACCAUUGUAAUACAGAUCAUGAUAAUUCAUAUCUUCAUAAGCUUGAGACUUCCUUCUUGAAGAUACUUUUGAAGAUAUACAUUAAGAUAUAGAGGAUAUAGUUGUUACUUUUAAAAAAUGAAUAGCAGAAGGAGCUUGCUGAGAAAUGCAGAUCUUCAAGAAUCAUUUGAGACUGAAAUAUGAAAAUAUAAAAAAAAGAGUAAUUUAGAGGAUAAAAAUGAGAAUAGUUUCAAAACACGGCACUUAAAAGCAGUGAGAAAUAUUUAUUAAACGAUAAACAGGGAUGUUUUCGGUAUUAUACAUACCAUCUUCAGUGG